rnacentral:lncRNA from 1 species
GGGAAUGCGUGUAGGCAGAGAAAUGGCGGUCAGGGAGGAGCACAGAGCGGGUGUCUAAGUAAUGGUUCAUAGCCAUGCACCUCUAGUGUCUCAAGAUCCAAAAAGAGAUGAGCGUCCAUAAGAUCCUUGGACUUGAAAAUAGGUGAACCACAGGCAUUUGACGCUCCACUCACUCUCUGCCAGCUCAUUCCCACUCGGCUUCACAUCGACUGAGCAGUAUUAACAUCUACCUGCCCGCAACCUCCAUCUCC